GAUGAACGCUGGCGGCGUGCUUAACACAUGCAAGUCGAGCGAAGCAUAUAAGCGGAAGUUUUCGGAUGGAAGCGUGUAUGACUGAGCGGCGGACGGGUGAGUAACGCGUGGGUAACCUGCCUCAUACAGGGGGAUAACAGUUAGAAAUGACUGCUAAUACCGCAUAAGCGCACAGGACCGCAUGGUCAAGUGUGAAAAACUCCGGUGGUAUGAGAUGGACCCGCGUCUGAUUAGCUGGUUGGUGAGGUAACGGCCCACCAAGGCGACGAUCAGUAGCCGACCUGAGAGGGUGGCCGGCCACAUUGGGACUGAGACACGGCCCAA
rnacentral:rRNA from 1 species